UAGCUCUGAAGUCACAAAAUGUAGGUAUAGUUCUACUACAAUCGGGGUUUUCUUUCUUUCUUUCAUCUGCAGAGUUCGCUCUUAUUGAUGGACUAAAGCUCGAUUUGGGGAACCAAGAAUUGGUAACCAGAGGAGCUCGAGUUUAUUGUUUCCUACCGAAGCUGCUGCAACCAGUUUCCGACCAAGCUUCUGUUGGCAUUUAUCCAUGGCUCCGAUCAAAGAUUAAGAAGCUUAAUCUGUAAUUACUCUGAGAAGGGAAUAUGGUCUGAGUAUGUGAAUGAAUUGGUUCGUAAUUCGAGCACAACUUCAACUGUGCCGCCGUUGAUUAACGAUGAAGAACCAAGCUGAUAAUUUUCCAAUGUUGAAUGGCGUAUGAUUGAUGGGUUUAAUAUGAAUUGAACUAUGUAGGAUUUUUUUUGGAGAAAUUGAAAGCCAUAAAAGUUUAAAGCUAUGGCAAGAAGAGUAUGGGUCACGGCAUGUUUGAUAAAAAGUCUGAAUGACCAUUUCUGUUUUCUUGCAUCAUCUUUCCAAUCUCUUCCUUCCUGACGGGUGUCUGCAGCAAUAACCUUCUUACCAAGAUUAUACGAAAUUGCAGCAACAUCCUUGGUAGUUCGAUGCUUGAAUCCUUGGAGUUUACAGUAACAGCACCCAUCUUUAUAGAAGAACAAAGGUUGCUCGUGUAUUUGACUAGGCAGGUUGUUUUCCGUUGUCAUAAAUGAUCAUCACUGGUACAUCAAAACUGAAAAUACUUGCAGAUGUGUAUCUCCCCUGUUCUUACCAAAGCUACUGCUUCUACCCAUUUAGUAAAGUAGUCAGUUGUAGCUAACGAAUACUUGACGCCCCCAAGUGCAGCUGGAAACGAAGCUACAACAUCCAUUCCUCACAUGUUAAACGGCCACGGGCUCACAACCAGAUGCAACUCAUUCGCUGGUCUCUUUAUAAGAGGGCCAUGCAUGUUUAGCUGAUCAACCAAGCAUUUUCUUAUAUAGUCCUUGCAAUCACUGUGCAUAUAAGGGCAGAAGUACUAUUUGGGAUAAAAGCCUAUGCGCCAGACUCCUUCCUUCAGAAUGAUCCUCACAACACCCUUCAUGUGCCUGAGCGAACAAUUGCUUCCCUUCCUCUCAAGUCACACAAGGAAGAUGAAUUUGUGCACAUGUGUACCAACUUCAUUCUCACCAAUGCUACUACCUCAAGCCAUUUGUUGAUGCAGUCAAUUACAUCUAGCAAGUAGUACAUGCCUCGGUGCAGCGGGAAAUGGACCUAUAAUGUCCAAUCCCAUCCCCAAUUGCUGGAAUAUCCACUGACUCGUAGCUAGACAUCGUUCUCCUGCUGGACUCUUCAUAAGAGGCCAUGUAGCUACUACAAUUCUUGUAUACUUUUUUUGCGUUACUUUGCAUAAGGACAAUAGUAUCCUUGAGAUAAAAACCUAUGCGUCACACUUCUUCCUCCGAAAUGAUUCUCGCAGCACCUUUAAUGAUUCUCGCAGCACCUUUAGCGAGCGGUUGCUUCCUUCAUCCCAAGUCAUACAAGGAAGGUAGGACUCCAUGGCAAUGCAAUUGUUGUUUUUGUAGAGAUGCAUAUAUUUCAUAAUCUAUAUAUGUACA